rnacentral:tRNA from 1 species
GCGCUUGUAGCUCAGUGGUUAGAGUUGUUCUUUCCGAUGCAUCGCAAUGGAACGGGUCGCAGGUUCGACCCCUGUCGAGCGCG